GUAACAGGAGCAUAUUUAUAUACACAAUAUUAAUUACAACAUAGUUCAUUAUACAAACAGAAUACAUUUUUAAAUUAUACAUCUUCAGAAAUAAGUUUGUGUUUAUUACAGUUUUAAAUUAAACAAGCAUCUUUUCUACCUUUUGAAUAAAAAUUGACAGCUUAGACAGCACAUUACUAUUACUAUAUUUAAGCAUGCCAAGUACUUUUUUUUCAUUUGGAUAUUUUAAAUAAUAUGGAGGUAUGAACUUCCCCUUAAAUCCUUAACUUCACAGUUGGUACAUUUACAUAUAUAGUGGUAUACAUCUCCAAGACCAGCUUUACAGAGUGGACAAAUCCUAUCAUUUCGUGGUACAUAUCUCCAUCUUCCUGUUUCGAUGGGAAACUUUGUAUUACAUACCCUUAAUUUACAUAUGUUUACUCUAUGCCCCCGUCUUAAUUUUAACAGAUAUGUUUCCAAGCAAAACUCUUCUUUAAAGUGUAGAUAAAACUCCCCCCUUGAUGAAUUGUUUAUAUCUGAGAACCAUUUUUGAAUAAACUGGUCCUGGAGACGCUGCCUUACAUUAAUUUUAAUAUAAUUAUAAUCAACUUGCUCCGGAAAAUUAUAUAGUUCACAAAAGCCACAAUCAUUGAACACAGAUUUUACAUAGUUAAACCACUUAAAGUUACUACCUUCAUGCUCAUGCAUGUACCAAAGUAACUUAUAAAGUUUACCCGAUAGUUUUUUAUCAUUUGUUGCUAGCUUGUGCCAAAAACAUACCAUUUUUAACUUGAUCUGCAGUUCAAGUGGAAAUCUUCCAAGUUCCCCCAUAUACCAUAAAAUUUGGCGUAGAUGAUCGCACACCCAAACUGCGCUUACAAAACUGUAGAUGUAACUUUUCAGUAUUAUUUUUAUUUUCAAACCCCCAUAUUUCCGAGGAAUAGGUCAAAAUAGGAACCACCAACGCAUCAAAUAAUUUUAGCUGUAGAUCAAUCGGAAGUGAGAUAUUUUGUAUCUUCUUGUACAGAGCAUAAAGUGCUUUUUGAGCUUGGUCUACCAAUUUUUUACGAGCUUGAAAGAAAUUUCCGUUGUAAUUAAACAGCAGACCAAGAUAAACAUAUGAAUCUUUAAUUUCAAUAAUUUCAUUACAUAGUUUAAAAGUAACAUUCUUAUUAUACUUUCUCUUUGAAAAAAUUACAAUCUUUGUUUUUGUAACAUUAAACAGUGAGUUUCCACUCAAAACAAUAUUGCUCAAAAACAUCCAGAGCUUUUUGUAACCCUUCUGCCGACUCCGCAAAAAUAAUUGUGUCAUCAGCGUACAGAAGAAUAAAUAACUUGAUGUACAAAUCAAGAUUCUCUGUAAAUUUUCCAUUAAUAAAUUUUAGACCAUCCACAGCGUUUUCAUCCAGAUAUUCCUCCAAGUCAUUAAGAUAUAAGGCAAAGAGAAAAGGUGACAUUUUUUCUCCCUGUCUUACACCUACCUCACACGGAAAAAAA
rnacentral:lncRNA from 1 species